AUGGGACCGAGCAAUUUGGAAAUGGUGUCAGGUGCCAAGGGAUCCAGGAAGUGAUAGUUGGAGCAGUUCAGAGAGUGCUGCUGCAGGGAGAGUCGCUGAAGAUUGUUCUCUUGUGAAGGACCAUGUGGAAUCCCAAUGCAGGGCAGCCAGGUGCCUUCUCUGGAGCAGCACAUCCCCCCAACCCUUCUUACCCAGGUGGCUUCAAUCCUGCAUACCCACCUCCUGUGAACCCUGCAUUCCCUCCAGGCUCUAUGCCUGUUGGCCCCUGUCCUGUUCCCCCAGUAGGGAUCCCAGGGCAACCUGCCUAUCCCUCAGGCCAUCCCAUUCAGCCCCCAUAUCCUGGUCAUCAGCCUAUCCUGCCUGGUGGUCCUUUGCCCCCACCUGUCCCUGGGAUGCCAGGAGGAAUAGGAUUCAAUCCUUUGGUGCCCGGGGCUGCUGUGGGCACCUGCGUGAUGGACAAGAAAGCUGCUAAAAAGAUGAAGAAGAAGAUGAAGAAGGCACACAAGAUGCAUAAACCACACAAACACCAUGGAAAGCAUUCCUCCUCCUCUUCAUCCUCUUCCAGCAGCAGUGACUGACUGAUGUGUCUCCCUACUUUCCGGCUGCAUCCGUUUCCACCAUGGCUGAUCCUUGCACUGUUCUUCCUGCAUUCAUAGAAAAUUAACUAGAUUGGUUACUACCCCAAUAGAUAAAAAUGACAUCUGCUUGCUUUUUGUCUGCCCUCCAAGAUGGCCAGGCAUCAAGCUUAUCCAUAGGACUGGUGCUGCUGAUUAACCAGCCUACUGUGAUCGACUGUUUGGUGGGAGGGCGACACCAUUAUUGGGCUCCAAAGCAGUACAUCUGCAGCUGUUGGCGAUUGUGAUUACAUUUCUGCAGCCAAUCAAAUACUGUCCUGGCGCUCCAAAUGUUUUAUUGGGAACCAAUCAAACGAUUAUUUUGAGGUUGGUUGGGAGGUCCAAAACUACCUAAGUGCUUUUAAAAAUUAUCAAUCAUUCACCAAAGUAGUUCUUUGAAUGUUCAUGUAGUCGUGCCUGAGAAAAGGACAAAACAGGGGAGAUUGCUCAAUAUUAUAACUGCAUUUGGAAAUUGUUGCUUAUUUAAUAUAAACUAGAAUAAUCCACUUUUAAAAGAUCACAAAAUGUGCUGAAUCAGGGAUAAUGGCAUAACUGUAUGCAUGCAGAAAUUUAUUGUGAGAUUCCCUUCUCUCUGUCACUCAGAAAUAAACAUACAUUCAUGUAUUUAUGGUAUAUUUUA
rnacentral:lncRNA from 1 species